rnacentral:sRNA from 1 species
AAAAAGCUGUUUGCCUCUUCUGUGCAUCCUGGAGUUGCGUGGCGUCAGGAGGCCAGUGGAAGUCUUAGUCUUACCUGUAAUAAACCAGAGUUGCUGACCUGUGGAGUCUGAGGCAACACGCAGAGUAGGAGACAGGACACCAGCCAUCUUCUGUAUAGCCCACACAGCUUGCCUAUCCUGAGAAGAGAGGCAUGAGAGAUGGCUGGAAUUUGCUUCCCUUGAGACUUCUUUCCCCGCAUCUUUCCCUAAUGAAGUAUAAGUCUAUGGGAAGAGUUUAACUAAAUGCCUGCCCUUUCACACAGGAAAUCUGUUUUCUUCCUAGUCUUCAGAUGCGCAGUGGUUGACGCCAGAGGAGAGGAGCCAGCUUAUUCCUGACUUGAAAGCAGCAGGGUGGUCGGAGUUGAGCGAGAGAGACGCCAUCUACAAAGAGUUCUCCUUCAAAAAUUUUAACCAGUUUCAGGGCCUGUGUGAUGAUGUCAAGUGAUGUUGGGGACGCUGGUGCUGCUGUCCACUGAGGAAGGGGGCUGCAGCCGAUGGCAUUGUCUUGGGGCUCUUGAUUCCGCUGUUCGUACCAGGCCGUCUGUGCCUCUGCAUGGAAUUCUGCUGCCUUACGACUGUGACAGGAACGUGGCUUCAUGUGUGUCAGAACCGUGCAGCUGGUCAUGUCCUCGCAGCAGUAGGACAGAACGGUGUCUGCAUUCCAGCAGGUUUGUUUAUGUGUGCGAGCGUUUUGUGUAGGUAUGGUAACUGGGCAUGCCUGGUGCCUGCAGCCCUCAGAAGAGGACCUCAGAUCGUCCGGGAUUAUAGUUACAGAUGACUGUGAGCCACCGUGUCAGUGCUGGGGACCGAACCUGGGUCUUCUUGGAGGAGCGGCUGGUGCUAUAACCACUAGCACCUCUCCAGCCCUUGCUGCUUCAGUCCUUGAGCUGCCUUCCACGUCGAUGUCACCCUUUACCUCGUUUUGAGGCUAAACAUUUGCGUCCUGGUGCUUUGGUGUUGACUCUUCGAAGUCAGAGCUAAAAAGGAGGAGAGGACCAGGACCUAGGAGUGGUGGGCUUUGCCAUGGCGACGGAAGCACAGGGACAGGAGGAUGAGAAGGUCACCUAGGAUUCUUACAGGAAUGGAACCCUCAUGCUGCAUUUGGACGAUGUUGGUAGCUGCCUCAUGAGUAUGGCUUUCCCCCUCUGAUUGUAUAACGCACCUUGUAACUUGGAGAACGAAAGAAUCAAAGAAGAAUAGCCCUUCUGAUGCUUCAGUGCGUGCCCGUGUUCCCGGGCCGUGUGGCAGAAGCCUCAGUUGAUUCAUUCACUAGGUGAGCACUUUCUGCAUUUUCACCUGGCUUUUGUCUUGUUCUGUUUGAGACAGGGUCACUGUUUGGCCCGGCAAGGCUGGCUUGCAAGUGUUCUGCAAGGGCAACAAGUAACCCUAACCACUGGACCACCUUGCCAGGCUCCACCUGGAGAUGAUUUUUUUUUUUUAAUGGUAGGACAGACAGUAUCUCACGACACUGGGAGGUCACAGUUACCUUAGCAUGACUUUCAUACAGUAACCAUCCUCACAGCGGAGGCUUUCCCAGCCUCCUUCUCCCCGUGACCUAUGGGAAUAAUACUCUUGACAGUUUAGUGCAGAGACAUCGGCAAGUCAGACCAUGUCCCUUGUGCGUUCUUAGGAUCUUGGUGCCCACUGCCUUGAGGUCAGGCUCAGGUCCAGUUAAAAAGUCAACCAAGCCAGUUGUGCUGGCCCAUGCCUAUAGUUUCAGGACCCAAGAGGCUGAGGCAGGAUCGCACAUUCAAGGCCAGGGUGGGCUAUACAGCAAGACCUGACCUUAAAAAAAAAAAAGUAAA